rnacentral:rRNA from 1 species
AUUGAACGCUGGCGGCAUGCUUUACACAUGCAAGUCGAACGGGGUGGGGGGCAACUCCCACUCAGUGGCGAACGGGUGAGUAAUGCAUCGGAACGUAUCCCGUAGUGGGGGACAACGCCGCGAAAGCGGCGCUAAUACCGCAUAUGCUCUACGGAGGAAAGUGGGGGACCUGAAAGGGCCUCACGCUAUGGGAGUGGCCGAUAUCGGAUUAGCUAGUUGGUGAGGUAAAGGCUCACCAAGGCGACGAUCCGUAGCUGGUCUGAGAGGACGACCAGCCACACUGGGACUGAGACACGGCCCAGACUCCUACGGGAGGCAG